rnacentral:snoRNA from 1 species
CCCAUGGAUGACGAGGAGCUGGUGACCUACAUCCUCGCCGGGUUGGACUUCGACUACAACUCGGUUGUCUCAUCUGUGGCAAACCGGGCUAAAUCAAUCUCUGUCAACGAGCUUCAUACUCAAUGACAGGGUUUGAGUC